GACUUACUCCCUCCGUUCCAUAAUACAUGUCUUCUAUUUGUCAAAAUAUAGACGUAUCUACACAUGUUUUAAUAUAUAGGUACAUCCAUUUUUGGACAAAUGGAAGUUAAGUAUUUUGGAACGGAGGGAGUAUUUU
rfam:Triticum aestivum genome assembly, contig: Triticum_aestivum_CS42_TGACv1_scaffold_157992_2DL